rnacentral:ncRNA from 1 species
CAAAGAUUUGGUCCUAAUCUUAACGUUGCUUUUUACUAAACCUACACAUGUAAGUAUCAGCAAUCCAGUGAAAAUGCCCUAAAAGUCAUACUAGACAAAAGGAGCUGGUAUCAGGCACACCACAGUCAGCCCAAAACACCUUGCUUUGCCACAUCCCCAAGGAUACUACAACAGUGAUUAAUAUUAAGCAAUAAGCACAAGCUUGACUUAGUUAUAGUAAAAUACACAUCUUAUUAGGGCUGGUAAAUCUCGUGCCAGCCACCGCGGUUAUACAAGAAGCCCAAAGCAACAACAAUCAACGGCGUAAAAUGUGGCUAAACCAUAAUUCAUAAUAAAUCUAAGGUUGAUCCCCUACCAAACAGUCACACGUAAAGUAUAAAUAAACCCAAUAAAAAAAUAACCUUAGCACAACAGAAAACUUGAACCCACGAUCGUUAAGACACAAACUGGGAUUAGAUACCCCACUAUGCUUAACCCUAAACCUAGAUGUUUAUAAUACAAAAACAUCCGCCAGAAAACUACGAGCAAAACGCUUAAAACUCCAAGGACUUGGCGGUACCUCAAACCCCCCUAGAGGAGCCUGUUCUAUAAUCGAUAAUCCACGUUAAACCUUACCAUCCUUUGCCAACCCAGCCUAUAUACCACCGUCAUAGCCUACCUUAUGAAAGACAAAAAGUAAGCUCAACAACCCCAAUAGCUAAAAAGUCAGGUCAAGGUGUAGCCAACUAAGAUGGAAGAAAUGGGCUACAUUUUCUACCAUAGAAAUAACCACAGAACAGAAACAUGAAACAUGAUCUGAAUAAAGAAGGAUUUAGUAGUAAAUUAAGAACAGAGAGCUUAAUUUAAAACGGACCUGAGGUGCGCACACACCGCCCGUCACCCCCAUCAACAAUUAAUCCAAAUGUAAAUAACACCUACAAAUAAAACCAGAUGGGGUAAGUCGUAACAAGGUAAGUGUACCGGAAGGUGCACUUGGACUACA